ACGGGAGGCAGCAGUGAGGAAUAUUGGUCAAUGGAGGCAACUCUGAACCAGCCAUCUCGCGUGAAGGAAUACGGCCCUACGGGUCUUAAACUUCUUUUAUAGGGGGAUAAGGUGAGAUAUGCACAUCUUUUUGUAGGUACCCUAUGAAUAAGCAUCGGCUAACUCCGUGCCAGCAGCCGCGGUAAUACGGAGGAUGCGAGCGUUAUCCGGAUUUAUUGGGUUUAAAGGGUGCGCAGGCGGCACGUUAAGUCAGCGGUGAAAUGUCGGGGCUCAACCCGGGCGCUGCAGUUGAAACUGGCGAGCUUGAGUACGGAUGAGGUCGGCGGAAUGUGAUGUGUAGCGGUGAAAUGCUUAGAUAUGUCACAGAACACCGAUUGCGAAGGCAGCUGACUAAUCCGCAACUGACGCUCAGGCACGAAAGCGUGGGGAGCAAACAGGAUUAGAUACCCUGGUA
rnacentral:rRNA from 1 species